rnacentral:snRNA from 1 species
AAGUGUCACAGCUCCUUCAGAAUUUGUUUAGCAGGUGUUCUUGUUCUUACUAGAAGAUGCUCAU